rnacentral:lncRNA from 1 species
AAAAAUCAUGUCAAGAAUGCGGCGUGUUCUGCGAUCGCAGAAUCAACAUGCAGACCGCAGAUGAGCCACCAAGGACAAAGAUGUGAUGCAAAUCUACGGUCGUAUAACUCAAAUGCAUACCGCAGAUUGAACCUGCGAUGAAGGCCUGGCACCUAGGGUUUUGGAUCUACGACGUGGCUAUUCAAGAUGCGGACCGCAGACCUAUUCUGCGACAAGUCUGCAGUCACAGACACGACCUGGAAGGGAAGAUUUGUCCAUUUUUUGUCCCGA